UUGGAGGGCAAGUCUGGUGCCAGCGGCCGCGGUAAUUCCAGCUCCAAUAGCGUAUAUUAAAGUUGUUGCGGUUAAAAAGCUCGUAGUUGAAUUUCGGGAUCAAUAUGUCGGUCGUGCCUCGGUACGUACUGGCGUCAUUGGUUUCUCUCUUCUGAUGAACCAUAAUGCCAUUAAUUUGGUGUUGUGGGGAAUCAGGACUGUUACUUUGAAAAAUUAGAGUGUUUAAAGCAGGCUCACGCUUGAAUACAUUAGCAUGGAAUAAUGAAAUAGGACGUUUGAUUCUAUUUUGUUGGUUUCUAGGAUCGACGUAAUGAUUAAUAGGGAUAGUUGGGGGCAUUAGUAUUCAAUUGUCAGAGGUGAAAUUCUUGGAUUUAUUGAAGACUAACUACUGCGAAAGCAUUUGCCAAGGAUGUUUUCAUUAAUCAAGAACGGAAGUUAGGGGAUCGAAGACGAUCAGAUACCGUCGUAGUCUUAACCAUGAACUAUGCCGACUAGGGAUCGGAUGAUGUAAUUUUAA
rnacentral:rRNA from 1 species